UACGUAGGGGGCAAGCGUUGUCCGGAAUUAUUGGGCGUAAAGAGCGCGUAGGCGGUCCGAUAAGUCGGCUGUGAAAGUCUAGGGCUCAACCCUGGAAAGCCGGCCGAUACUGUCGGACUAGAGUCCGGAAGAGGCGAGUGGAAUUCCCCGGUGUAGCGGUGAAAUGCGCAGAUAUCGGGAGGAACACCAAUGGCGAAGGCAGCUCGCUGGGACGGUACUGACGCUGAGGCGCGAAAGCGUGGGGAGCAAACAGG
rnacentral:rRNA from 1 species